rnacentral:rRNA from 1 species
CUUUCGGGGCGUAAACUCCUUUUCUGGGGGAUGAACACAUGACAGUACCCCAGGAAGAAGGACCGGCUAACUACGUGCCAGCAGCCGCGGUAAGACGUAGGGUCCGAGCGUUGUCCGGAGUUACUGGGCGUAAAGGGCGCGUAGGCGGUUGCCCGCGUCGCACGUGAAAGCCCCCGGCUCAACCGGGGAGGGUCGUGCGAGACGGGGUAACUGGAGGCAGAGAGAGGCUGGUGGAAUUCCCGGAGUAGUGGUGAAAUGCGUAGAGAUCGGGAGGAACACCGGUGGCGAAGGCGGCCAGCUGGCUCUGACCUGACGCUGAGGCGCGAAGGCGUGGGGAGCGAACGGGAUUAGAUACCCCGGUAGUCCACGCAGUAAACGAUGUGCACUAGGUGUGGGGGGAGUUGACCCCCUCCGUGCCGGCGCCAACGCAGUAAGUGCACCGCCUGGGGAGUACGGCCGCAAGGCUAAAACUCAAAGGAAUUGACGGGGGCCCGCACAAGCAGCGGAGCGUGUGGUUUAAUUCGACGCAACGCGCAAAACCUUACCAGGGUUUGACAUCCUCGGAACCUGCCUGAAAGGGUGGGGUGCCUUCGGGAGCCGAGAGACAGGUGCUGCAUGGCUGUCGUCAGCUCGUG